UACACGACCGUACCGCAAACCGACACUGGUGCGCGAGAUGAGUAUUCUAAGGCGCUUGAGAGAACUCAGGAGAAGGAACUCGGCAAAUUGACACCGUAACUUCGGAAGAAGGUGUGCCUUUAGUAGGUGAACCUGUACAAGGGGAGCCCAAUGAGGUUGCAAAAAAUCGGUGGCUGCGACUGUUUAAUAAAAACACAGCACUCUGCAAACACGAAAGUGGACGUAUAGGGUGUGACGCCUGCCCGGUGCUGGAAGAUUAAAUGAUGGGGUGCAAGCUCUUGAUUGAAGUCCCAGUAAACGGCGGCCGUAACAAUAACGGUCCUAAGGUAGCGAAAUUCCUUGUCGGGUAAGUUCCGACCUGCACGAAUGGCGUAACGAUGGCCACACUGUCUCCUCCUGAGACUCAGCGAAGUUGAAAUGUUUGUGAUGAUGCAAUCUCCCCGCGGAAAGACGGAAAGACCCCAUGAACCUUUACUGUAGCUUUGUAUUGGACUUUGAACAGAUCUGUGUAGGAUAGGUGGGAGGCUUUGAAGUGUGGUCGCUAGAUCGCAUGGAGCCAACGUUGAAAUACCACCCUGGUGUGUUUGAGGUUCUAACCUAGGCCCGUAAUCCGGGUCGGGGACAGUGCAUGGUAGGCAGUUUGACUGGGGCGGUCUCCUCCCAAAGCGUAACGGAGGAGUUCGAAGGUACGCUAGGUACGGUCGGACAUCGUGCUAAUAGUGCAAUGGCAUAAGCGUGCUUAACUGCGAGACUGACAAGUCGAGCAGAUGCGAAAGCAGGACAUAGUGAUCCGGUGGUUCUGUAUGGAAGGGCCAUCGCUCAACGGAUAAAAGGUACUCUGGGGAUAACAGGCUGAUACCGCCCAAGAGUUCAUAUCGACGGCGGUGUUUGGCACCUCGAUGUCGGCUCAUCUCAUCCUGGGGCUGUAGCCGGUCCCAAGGGUAUGGCUGUUCGCCAUUUAAAGAGGUACGUGAGCUGGGUUUAAAACGUCGUGAGACAGUUUGGUCCCUAUCUUCCGUGGGCGCUGCAGAUUUGAGGAAGCCUGCUCCUAGUACGAGAGGACCGGAGUGGACACACCUCUGGUGUAUCGGUUGUCACGCCAGUGGCAUUGCCGAGUAGCUAUGUGUGGAAGAGAUAACCGCUGAAAGCAUCUAAGCGGGAAACUCGUUUCAAGAUGAGAUCUGCCGGGGCCUUGAGCCCCCUAAAGAGUCGUUCAAGACCAGGACGUUGAUAGGUCGGGUGUGGAAGCGCAGUAAUGCGUUAAGCUAACCGAUACUAAUUGCUCGUGCGGCUUGAC
rnacentral:rRNA from 1 species